rnacentral:misc_RNA from 1 species
AGCACAAGUGGUCGCACUAACCCACCAAAGAGGAGGUGUGAGGAGGAAGAAGGAAGUGUUGGCCUUCCUCCUAAGAGAAGGUGCAUUGCAUCUCAUCAGGCCCCUCUCCGAAGAUCCCAGAGGAUAAUACAAAAAAAUGCUGAUAGACUAGAGAGAGAUCAACAACAAUAACAACAACAACAACAACAACAACAACAACAACAACAACAACACCAACAACAACAACAGCAACAGCAUCAGCAGCAACAGCCUCAACAUCCCCAGCAACAACCCCAACCGGAACAGGAACCUGAUGUUAUGGAUUUAUUAUUAGAACUCUACUGGGCCAGAAUUGGAAAACAGCCGUACUGGCCAUGCCAAGUAGUUACAGAUGAGGAUGGUAAAUUUUACAAGAGGAAAAUUUGCUCCAACAAUGUCGUUAGGGUGUCACUCUAUGUGCGGUGGUUGGGGGAUGGGAGGCAUUCCUGGGUUGUCCUCUCCUAUUUGGUGCCCUUUGAGAGGGCACCAACCCCCCAACAGACACCCUACACAAUGUUGUAGGAUUAUGUCAUAACUCACCUCAAAACCAAAGAAAAUGUGAAGGCCUGUAGAGUGCCAAGGAGGCUGGUGGCCAAAGUGGACGCAGCAGUGGAGGAGGCUCUGGAAAUGCAAGAUAUUUUCAUUUAAGUGAUGGUGAUUGGUUCCAUGGUGUUGAACGAGAUAGUGGUGGGACUUGCGGUGUCCUACCUGAGCGUCCUGAUGUGUGGCAUCGGUGUCCUGAUGGCGUGGCGUGGCUUCUCUCCCCUCCGCCAGCUGCCCACCUUCC